UACGUAGGAUCCAAGCGUUGUCCGGAUUUACUGGGUGUAAAGGGUGCGCAGGCGACUUGUUAGUCAGAGGUGAAAUCUCACUGCUCAACAAUGAAACUGCCUUUGAUACUGCAGGUCUUGAAUCCAGAAGAGAGUUGUGGAAUUCCGAGUGUAGCAGUGAAAUGUGUAGAUAUUCGGAAGAACACCAGCGGCGAAGGCAGCAACUUGGUCUG
rnacentral:rRNA from 1 species